CCUACGGGAGGCAGCAGUGGGGAAUCUUGCACAAUGGGCGAAAGCCUGAUGCAGCGACGCCGCGUGAGUGAAGAAGUAUUUCGGUAUGUAAAGCUCUAUCAGCAGGGAAGAAAAUGACGGUACCUGACUAAGAAGCCCCGGCUAACUACGUGCCAGCAGCCGCGGUAAU
rnacentral:rRNA from 1 species